rnacentral:rRNA from 1 species
AUUGAACGCUAGCGGGAUGCCUUACACAUGCAAGUCGAACGGAGUGGCGAACGGGUGAGUAAUGUAUCGGAACGUGCCCAGUAGCGGGGGAUAAAUACGCGAAAGCGUAGCUAAUACCGCAUACUAUUGGAGCGGCCGAUAGCGGAUUAGCUAGUUGGUGGGGUAACGGCUCACCAAGGCGACGAUCCGUAGCUGGUUUGAGAGGACGACCAGCCAGACUUGGACAGAGACACGGCCCAGACUCCUACGGUCGGCAGCAGGAGGGAAUUAUGGACAAUGGGGGAAACCCUGAUCCAGCCAUCCCGUGUGAUCGAUGAAGGCCUUCGGGUUUUAUAGCACGUUUGGCAGGAAAGCGGUACCUGCAGAAUAAGCAACGGCUAACUACGUGCCAGCAGCCGCGGUAAUUC